rnacentral:sRNA from 1 species
AAAAAAAAAAAAGAGAGAGAAACCAAAGGUGAACCCCUGACAAAUGGCAGCUACACUGUCACACAAAUAAUAAUUAAAAUAAAGGAAUAUACACAUAUAUUCCAAUAUAUGGAAAUAUACACAUAUACAACCAUCAGCAAAAUCCAAACAGUUCAACAAAAAUAAACUACAAUAGACUGACCUAGCAAACAACGGAAACCAAAAAUGAUAUCUACCAGUUAAGCACAAAACUAACGAGUGCGAGUGCACAAGCUGGAAAAGAAAUCUAAAGCAAAGUCCCAAGUGGGGAUGAAAGCACUGAAAAUAAAACUAACAAAAUGUUGAGAGGAAAGGAAGGAAAAAAAAAGGUCUCACGAAUUCCGCU